rnacentral:sRNA from 1 species
UUUGUGUUUUUUUGUGUUUUUCUU